UAUAUAUAUAUAUAUAAAGGCAGGACAUGAGGCUGGUGACAUGGCACUCUCCUAAGUCAAGAAUCAUAUUUCUCUUCUUUGUCAGAUUUUUGGCAUUUUUAUUCAAUUCUUUCAUUUAAAACUGCUACAUUAAAAAAAAAAAAAAAAAAAAAAAAACCGCUACUAUUUUAACUGCUGAGAUUGAAACAACACUAUUCAAGAAACGAUGCCCCCACGGUUAAAAGGCCUUGACUUCUGUGAUGUAUUCAUCUUCCAAUCUCAAAGUAGACUUGCAACUUUUGCAAGUUGAAUUUCAAUCUAAAUAAGUUUUUACUUCCUGGAAGUUUUCAUCUUUACUCCACAACACUUUGCCGUAAUAUCACCAUCCUAUUUUCACCAUUACGCUCACGGGCACAGUAACCUCCUCCGUCAUUCACUGCCGCUUGCCACCAUUUUCUACGGUACAUUCUCCUCAUAUUCCUCAACAUUUAUAGGUGUACGUCAAUUUGUGCGGGUGUGAAUUACAUUGAUAUUAACAUUGAUUAUAGCAAUGUGCAACUGAUGAUCGUCAUUCAAUUGCAAAAAUUAUUUCCAAAUAUAUCUUUUUUUCACUGUUCCUCUGUUUUCUUCUCUAGAAUGUAUUGCUCGAAUGUUUCUCGAAACUUACUGUUACGGAGUCGUUUCAGUUUUCCCUGUUCAAAGGAUAAGGAAUUAGUGUGGACCAUUUGGUUGUUAGAGAAAGAUAUUAUGUGGUAGUUAAAUCCAUGGAUCAAUUAUAUCCUUUUAAGCAGUAUACUUGUAAGAAAUCGAUGCUCAGUUGGUUCUGUUAUUCGUGGUUGGCACAAGCAUAAUAACAAAAUUAUAAGUCUCCAAUAUAUCUGAAUAGUAGUGACAAUAUGAUCUAAACAGAGGGACACUAGCCACUCGACACAAAGAAUUGAAGCAGGAAAUUUCAGCAGCAGUAUCUUACCCCACGCUUAGGAUUAAGAGGAGGAUUGAUAUAGGCGAAAAGAUACUUGAAAAAUUUGUCAAGAUGAGAACCUCUCCGAUGGAAAAUAUUGAGCAUCUUAAGGUGAGACUAUCUAUAAUACCCUGUCAUCUACCCUUUGUCAUUUUAUCAAUGGGCUUAUUAUUAAUCUUCCAGCAUAUAUGUUGGGCAUGCGGUUGUUGUCAAUUUCGUUGUCCAUUCUCAUUACGUGAUUGCAAGUCAUGCUUUGCUGCUGAGUUCGCUUAAGAUUUUGUAAAAUUCAUUCUGCAAUGAAUUUAUCUUCCCUUAACAUAUUAGUAUUACGUAAUUUUUUGUCUCUCAAGCUUCAGUGCAAACACAAUAACAGAAAAUGACUAAAGCAUGAAGAGCUUAAAGUGGAGAGUUGAGGGCAUAGGCUUGAUACUAAGUGGAAGUUUUUGUACCAACCACAAGAUCUUCUCAUGCAUUAUUAAUAGGGACUUCACCAAUUGUUGCAAUAUCAUGGAGAACCUCACCAACAGACUGGUCCACAACUGUUGGAACAGAAUAAUCCGAACCAGAACUGGAUUCUCCAGCUUGUGGUCUAACUCUUAACUGAGCGUGAGUGUGCGCAAAGAAGCAGGGAGUUCUGGUGCAUCUAUCAUUGCCACACCACCUGGUACGAUAGUUAUCAGGAUGUAAGCUACGCUCAUAAAGGCCGUGUGCGAACCAACACCCCUCGCCUCGUCCACAUGAGUUGGGGAGUCCCGUGAAGAAACGACAUGGGAUGGACGAGUGAAGUCGUGGGUCUCUCAGCCUAGCCCCCUCGCCAUGAUGUCUGUAUGGACAAGAUGCCCAUGUGUGAUACCAGUUGAAUGGACAGUCGUGGACCUUGUAGGUAAACAUCCAGAAUUUCUCGUCCCUGUUGUGGAAUCCAAUAAACAGUUAAGUUGCCGUAGCAAAUGACAAAACGAACAGAGGAAAGCUGGGUAGAAAGCACAGACAAGCAAGCAGUUGGUGUAACAGAGAGCAUUUACGUUAUUUGGCAAGAAAGGAACGGAAGCAGAGAAGCCCCAAGUUGAUUAGUAGU